UACAUUAUAUACAUCGUAGAAAGGUCGAGCAUGUAUGUGUCUGCAUUGGCAAAUUUAUAGGAUUACAUUUCUGAAUCAGUAUCAUCAACACCGUCAACAAUGCCUGGCUAAAUUUCAGUGAAUAAACGAGCCAGCACAAAUGCCACGGAUCUUGUUCGAUAGCUUUGUCACGCUUCGUCUGAUGCAUCCUAGUAGCUUUGCUUACCCCUCGAAACUGCUCUAUAACCGACCAGCCAGGCAAACAAGCGAAGAUCACGUCACACCCAUGAAUUGUUUGUUGCCAGCUGCUGGAUUGAACAAGCUGACGACGGCCAUUGCGGAAAGAAAAUACUGACAGCAAAUGCUUAUCUGAACGGUGGCUUAAGACUGUGUUAUCGCCAUCAUAACGCUCGGCUGGGUUAUCCUCAGUGUUUUUCGACGUAGAAAACCGAGACGGCGCAUCGAGGCUACGUCUGAAGGAGCAAACUGUGUUGUCCGUGCUUUGCUCUACAUCUUGUGUGACGUCUGCCCGGCAGGACCUUUCUGGGUAACCGACAGCGUCCGUGAACGUUGGCGAAACGAAGCAAAUUCACGAUCAAAACACUGUCGACCUCUGUGCUUCCCGCAGUGAAAGACAGAUGGUAUUAAUGGCUCGUAAGAUGAUCAGGAACAAAUAAAAAAGCCAAAAGGAUGUAAAAAAGAAAGCUGCGCGUGGAGUUAUGGUUGAACUAGCAAAACUGUUGAAACCAACAUGCCAUAUGAGUGCGUCUGGAAAAAAAGCUGUUUGCAAAUGUCAUCAGAUUGCCCUUCUCCCCGGUGCGCUCCACUUCAUUGUGUCAUGAACGUGUAUUAGCGGCCAUAUGGUGGCCCCAGGAGGCGCUCGUCAAAGCUAACCCUACCUAGUAAUAGCUGCGGCCCAGUUUCGACUGUUUGAGAAGAAUGAGGGCUAUUGUUUUGGUUUGCGAUGCACGCGUUUACUGUGCGUGUUUCUAUCGUCGAGUCCCUAAGCCGAUGCCCGAGCAUUGCAGGGAUACAAACAGACCGAUAAAUUCGUAUCCGCACUGAUCACCACACAGUAAAACGGUAACCGAUAAGACCAACAAAAAAGCAGUGUACUCCACGUGUUUUGUCUCAAAAACAUCAAGUAGUUACCUGUGCACGAUCGCACGAUGUGAAAAGCGUAGUUCGCAGUGAAACAGCUAGCCUGGUUCUCGCAUGAUCAGACUGUAUAAAUCCUUACCGUAGAUUCCUUUUUCUAGCCCAUAGUUAUAGAACACUGACCUAGUCAAUGUUAACCGCGUAAGCCAAUAUCGUACGAUGAAGUUUCAUUAAAGAGACAGACAUCGGAAGCGUUUCUCACUAGCAUCCAUGAAAGACCCAUGCACUGAUGUUACAAUUACCGUUUCUCUUGGGGCAGCAUUAAGCAGAUAGACGUAGCGCUUGCAGCGAUAUGAAUAGUUCCUUCGACAACAACAUCAACAACAACAACAAUAAUAACCGUCACUGCAAUAACGGUACGUCCGCAUAAGGCGACGGAAUAAUUUGCUAUGCCAAUUUGCUACCUUGGAACGUAUUAUGAUAAGUGAA
rnacentral:lncRNA from 1 species